rnacentral:rRNA from 1 species
UGAGUAACCUGCCCUUCACUCUGGGAUAACUCCGGGAAACCGGGGCUAAUACUGGAUACGACUCGAACAGGCAUCUGUAUCGGGUGGAAAGAUUUAUUGGUGGAGGAUGGACUCGCGGCCUAUCAGCUUGUUGGUGAGGUAAUGGCUCACCAAGGCAACGAUGCGUAGCCGACCUGAGAGGGUGAUCGGCCACAUUGGAACUGAGACACGGUCCAGACUCCUACGGGAGCA